rnacentral:RNase_P_RNA from 1 species
GAGAGUAGGCGUAGGCGGUUGCAGAUUCAGUCACAAUGGCUGGUUUGAGGAAAGUCCGGGCUCCCGAAAGACCAAACUUGCUGGAUAACGUCCAGUGCGAGCGAUCGUGAGGAUAGUGCCACAGAAAGAUACCGCCGGGAAUAGGGGCUGGGGACUAGGGACUAGGGACUGGGAAAAAAUAUUCCUAAUCCCCAAUACCCAAUCCCCAGUACCCAAUCCCCGGUAAGGGUGCAAAGGUGCGGUAAGAGCGCACCAGCAGCGUCGAGAGGCGCUGGCUCGGUAAACCCCGGUUGGGAGCAAGGCGAAAGGAACUACGGUUGGUCUUUUACCAGUUCCGCUAAAACAGAGCCGCUAGAGGCGUCUGGUAACAGGCGUCCCAGAUAGAUAACCGCCCUCAUGCAGGGAAGUUACUUGUAACCUCUCUACAUUCGAGAACAGAACCCGGCUUACUACCAACUCUCUCCC